UACGUAGGGGGCAAGCGUUGUCCGGAUUUAUUGGGCGUAAAGAGCUCGUAGGCGGCUCAGUAAGUCAGGUGUGAAACCUCCAGGCUCAACCUGGAGACGCCACCUGAUACUGCUGUGGCUAGAGUCCGGUAGGGGAGCGUGGAAUUCCUGGUGUAGCGGUGAAAUGCGCUGAUAUCAGGAGGAACACCAGCGGCGAAGGCGGCGCUCUGGGCCGGAACUGACGCUGAGGAGCGAAAGCGUGGGUAGCAAACAGG
rnacentral:rRNA from 1 species